ACAACUCUGUGAUUGUGUGAUUGAGCAGAGUUAAGGCUGGGGGAGGUGGGAGCUCGGUGUCUCACUGUGCUGCCGCUGCUGCUGCUGCUGAGGUCAGUGAGAUCAGAGACUGGGACAGGGAGCCAGAGCUCACAUCAAACUCUGCCCAUGUCCGUCACACUGAGACUGGCAGGAGGCUACUCACUGAUUUCACUCCAUGCUGCAGGAAUGGGACCACAGGCUGCAAAUGGACAGAGCUCCUCCACACGGUAUCAGUGGGGACAUCAUCAUGACCCAGUCUCCCCCGGUGCUGUCAGUGGGACUGGGCCAGACCACAACCAUCACCUGUACGGCCAGUCAAGACCUUAGCAACUACCUUUAUUGGUACCAACAGCGAGAAGGUCAGAAACCCUCUCUCCUGAUCUAUGCUGCAACAAAUCGAUACACAGGAGUCUCCGAUCGAUUCACCGGCAGUGGAUCAGGGACCGGUUUCACCCUGACAAUCAGCAACGUUCAGAAUGAGGAUGUCGCUGACUAUUACUGUCAGCACUAUGACAGCUGGUCUAUUACGUUCGGUAAAGGAACCAAGCUCCGACUGAGCCGUGAGAACUCUCAGCCCAAGCAGACCCUGCUGCCCCCCUUCCCGGAGCAGGUCAAUGCCAAAGGCACUGCCACCCUGGUGUGCCUUGCCAAUCACUUCUAUCCUGAUGAGCUGGAGGUGUAGUGGAAGAAGGACGGUGCAGUCAUUUCGGACGGGGUUCAGACCAGCAACUACCUGCGAGCUUCGGACAGCACUUACAGUGUCAGCAGCCUGCUGACCCUCUCUGGGUCUGACUGGGAGUCCAACGCUCACUUCUCCUGUGCCCUCACCCACGUGACCCUCUCCUCUCCCCUCAGCAAGAGCAUCAGGAGAU